rnacentral:rRNA from 1 species
GAUGAACGCUGGCGGCGUGCCUAAUACAUGCAAGUCGAGCGAACGGACGAGAAGCUUGCUUCUCUGAUGUUAGCGGCGGACGGGUGAGUAACACGUGGAUAACCUACUUAUAAGACUGGGAUAACUUCGGGAAACCGUAGCUAAUACCGGAUAAUAUUUUGAACCGCAUGGUUCAAAAGUGAAUGACGGUCUUGCUGUCACUUAUAGAUGGAUCCGCGCUGCAUUAGCUAGUUGGUAAGGUAACGGCUUACCAAGGCAACGAUGCAUAGCCGACCUGAGAGGGUGAUCGGCCACACUGGAACUGAGACACGGUCCAGACGCCUACGGGAGGCAGCAGUGGGGAAUCUUGCGCAAUGGGCGAAAGCCUGACGCAGCAACGCCGCGUGAGUGAUGAAGGUCUUCGGAUCGUAAAGCUCUGUUAUUAGGGAAGAACAGAUGUGUAAGUAUCUGUGCACAUCUUGACGGUACCUAAUCAGAAAGCCACGGCUAACUACGUG